CUGGCCCCGCCCCCCGCGCCCGGCCUGCGGCACCGCGGCGGCGGCCGGUGAGUGCCCCGGCCCUGCGCCGCUCCCCCGGCUCGGCACCGCCGGCUCGGCACCGCCGGCUCGGCACCCCCGGGCACGGCACCCCCGGGCACGCGCCCCUGCGGGCACAGCCUGCCCGCCGCCGGCGGCUGGGGGAGCCGCGACCCGGGGUGCUCCUGCCCUGGCCCCCGAGAGGUCCCGAGCUCUUCCGCCGUGGCAGGAAUUGGGGCGGGGGGGAGCCCCUUCCCCGCCUGUGCAGGGAGGGCGAGGCCUGGGGAGUGGGGAAGGGCCGCUCUCUCUGAACGGGCUGGCGGCUGCUCCGCGCCUGUACCUUCCCCCCCUGCCCGCCCCCCAGCCUGAGCCUCUGCCAGCCCCCCUGCUCGGUACUGGUUUGACUGGUGGUAUCAGACAAGGGGAAUUUCCUCUUAAAUGGUCAGUAGGGAAGAAAUCAGAAUUAUUAAAUCAGAUUAUUUUAACUGGGUAAGAUACCUGUUCGCAGAAUGCAGUGCUGGUUUUCAAAUCAGAAUUUCUUUGUAGGAUCUGUAAGUAACAGCUAAAGAUCUUCAGGAUGCUUAUUUAAGUAACAGAUAAUUUCUUAAAUUUCUUGAAAGCUCAUUUUGUUACCUUGAUACAAGAGUUUUCUCAUUCUAGUGCUAGAUUUUAUUGAAGAACAAGGGCCACAGGUAGCUCACGUGUAAUUGACAUACUUCAAGAUGAUGCUGCUUUAUGUUGCUGUUCUGAAAUUGUCAGUUAAUUGGUUCUCUUUGCUUUGAUAUUUUCCUCGUAGAUGGGGAAGCCAUAGGGAGUUUGUAUCAUGGCAGCAGGUGAGGAUGGACUGGGACUGUUUGAUAUCCGCUACAGUGCUGAAGCUUCCCCCUUCAGGGAAGGAGAUGAGAGCUCAGUGGAUAUUUAUGAUGGCUUGGACAGCAGUGUGUCGGUUUCUGACAAUUUUGCACCAAAUACUACACCAUCUAGAAGCAGCUUAAAUUUAUUUGAUGAAAUAUUAAUUGAAGAAGGGACUGCAAAGAAAGCAUCCUAUGAUGAGGUAUGUAUUAAUAUGGAAAAAAAAUCUAGUGUUUUUGGGGGGUUUUGUUCCAAAUUUUCUUGUGUAAAAAGUAAAGUACAGAAAAUGUUGUCGGCAUGCUCACAUUGUUGGAAAAAUAGGCUGUUUUUAAAUAAGUAAGAACAAGAGUGUGCUAAUAAACUCUUAGGACAAUGAGUUCAUCUGAAGAGGGAAAUCUGUCACUCUGUGACAUGAUGUGUUCCCAUUUCUUAUCCUUUGCAUGCAGUUCAUGUAUCAGCUACAUAGUGGGAGAAUGUUUUGUGGUUUCCCUCUAGUCAAGGAUCUCAUCAGACAUAUGAUACAAAGCUGGUCUUGACAUUUCUCCCAACAAAUUUUUUACAGAGUAAAGCAGAUAAAUCCAUGACCUAUCUUAUGUCUUGUUAAAUUCUGUCCUUGAGACUGAAGGUGGCCAUGCAGUAGGUAGCUGCUUCCAGCAAAUCAAGGCAACACUCACUUAAGUAGCAUCACCAGUCCUGGCCUACAAGACGCAUUUAAAUGGCAUAAAAGGGACAGACAUCCACAGAUGUUGGAAGGAGCAGGAGCGGAACCUCCAGGACUCCACUGAGUGAUGAAAAUGUCACUUUGCAAGUUUGAAAGUUGUUGACUGUUUGUUUGAAUGGAAGUUGUCCAUUCUUCUGUGAAAGCUUUGUCACUAUCUACCUCUAAAGAAGAGCUUCUGCCAAAUUUAUUUUGCUUAACUUUGUGAUCUUAGCAGCAUCAUGUCCUUUUGCAGUCUAUUUUUUGCAGUCCACGUUUGUAGUAACUUUUUGUUGUGUUUUUCCUUACCUGUUUUGUGUUACACAAAAUCUGACAAGAGAGUCCCCAUCUACUUGGCUCUUAGAACUCCUGCUCCUUGGUAAUUGUGUCUUUAAUUUCACAACAAUAUGGCUUUCUGUUAUUCUUUAGCCUAUUACUGUUAGGCAAGCACACAUAGAUUUCCUCUUACCUGAGUGUUUGUGUCAUUUUAGAGACCUGUAUACUAGUUGGAGCAUAUUGGAGCCUUUUGUUUCAAUACAGCUUUAAUAUGUUUCUUUGGGGGAAAAAACAGGUUUGUAAUAUACAUUAGUGUGUUAACUAGGUAUAAAUCUAGAGAAGUAACUCUUCUGUGUAAUUAAGUCCGCUCCUAUGCUGUGAAUUCUUCUCUCUUUGACAGUUGCAGGCAGAAUAUGGAAAAUGCC
rnacentral:lncRNA from 1 species